rnacentral:rRNA from 1 species
CGAAACCGAUAGCGAACAAGUACCGUGAGGGAAAGUUGAAAAGUACUCUGAAUAGAGAGUUAAAUAGUACGUGAAACCGCUUAGGGGUUAAGCCCGAUGAACCCGAAUAUCUGAUGUGAGAAAUUCAAUACGAUUCAAAUUCAUUUUUUAUAUUGGAUUUGUAUAGUAUGCACUUUUCUCAUAGUAAGACAUUGUAAUCCAUUGAUAUUAUAUCUCAUAUGAGAUGAUUUAACAUACGGACAAAAUGUUUAUGAUUAUUCUAUCAGUGAUAUGUUUACAUGUCAUAUGAAUAAAAUCGUUUUGUUUCCUGUUUAAAUAGUCGAUGGAUUUUUCAUUGAAAUCAUGCCUGCAAUUUAUUUUGCGUUUCGUAUUAUUAAUUUUUAAUUGGUGAUAGCAGAAAUGGCAUGUAUUCGAUUAACAAUGCGAUAGAUUUGGGAUACUUUCAGGACCCGUCUUGA